UACGUAGGGGGCUAGCGUUGUCCGGAUUUAUUGGGCGUAAAGAGCUCGUAGGCGGCUCGUUGCGUCGGCUGUGAAAACCCGCAGCUUAACUGUGGGCCUGCAGCCGAUACGGGCGGGCUGGAGUUCGGUAGGGGAGACUGGAAUUCCUGGUGUAGCGGUGAAAUGCGCAGAUAUCAGGAGGAACACCGGUGGCGAAGGCGGGUCUCUGGGCCGAUACUGACGCUGAGGAGCGAAAGCGUGGGGAGCGAACAGG
rnacentral:rRNA from 1 species